UGUUUUAAUUAAAUGAGUUCAGGAAAAUGGUGUUUUUCAAAUAUGUUCAGCCGAGGAUCAUGCUCUGAGUCUGACAAUACCAAGCUGCAUGGUCCUCCAGGGACUUCAAUGCCUGAGUGAGCCUCCCAUGAUGCCUUGCUAACUCCAAAGGGACUACCUUGCGAAAGGAAAAGCCAAUUUACCAUUAAACAUUCAAUAAAGAAAAGACAACAAAGAAAAUCCUCUUGUAAUCACAUUGCAUGCUCAAGACACCUUUCAUGGGAAGGUCUUUGGAGAGUUAUUUUAGUAGCUGAAUUUUCAUCACAACAGCACCUACAAUUGUCAAGUACCCACAACCAAUGACUCUUCAUGAGGGCUCUGGAAGCACCAGCUUCUAUUCUUCAUAGGUGGCAAAGUUCAGAAACGAAAAUCGGCACUGACAAAGCAUGGCGUUCCUUCCUAUAAGCCUCCUGCGGAUUCAUCCUACUUUAGGUAGGAAGUUAACCUGACUUCCAGGUCACAAACAUUAGCAUGCAUGGGGAUCGUUAGUAGAAAAAGGAAAAAGAUAUGAGCCAGCC
rnacentral:lncRNA from 1 species